UUGUAUUUUACAGUUGCAUUUUACCAUUAAAUUUAUAAAUAUUCUAUUGCAUUGUUAUUAAACUGUUUUCUCUUCUUAAGCUACUCUACAGGUUUUAUCUUUGCAGGCUCAACAGGGAACAUACAUCGGGAAAGAUGCCACGGAAGGGAAAGCGAUCUCAGGCUCAAAAGACGCGUUGGAGAAAGGUGGACCUGGAAAAUGAACAGACCAGACUUUCCAGGACUAACAAGGUUGAACAGGCAUGCAUCCCUACUGCUGUAGCUCAGGUAUCUGACAGAAUACAUGUAGAAGACUGUAAUAGUGCACCCAGAGUUUGGUCUGUGCAGGCUUCCCAUUGCCAGGGUGAUAUAAGGUAUGAUGUUUUCUCAAGGAAUCAUCAGUGCACAUGUGUAGCACUAAUAUUCUUGGCCAACCACAGUG